rnacentral:lncRNA from 1 species
UGCCAGCUUUGGUGCUGACCAGCCAGGUAGCCUUGGGCCAGUCCCUUCCCCACCUGUGACUCGGUUUCCCCCGCCCGCUCCAGCUCCCCACUGUGUUGCAGGAUCACAGGUGUUUCCUCCUGACCACCCGUGGCACUGCAGGCAGGUCUGCGCUUGCGCUGUUGUGCGAAUGGAUGAGGUUGACGUGACUCUUUGGCUAGAAGUGCUACGGGUUGCUGCAGCAGUGGUCUGGCCUUCGGGCCUUGCAGGGCUCCUAGGGGUUGUCAGUGCUGCUGACUGGGCAGGGAGAGUUGAGGGCUAGCACAUCUGGCUGGGCUCUAAGCACCUCUAAGGAAAGGCCCAGCUGGGGUAGGGCUCAGACGCUCACGGCUGGCACUAACCAGCCCCUUUCAGGCUGGAAUGGGCCGUGGAGACGCUGCCCCCUGGGUCGGGGCCAAGCCGUGGGGUCAUGUCAGGAUGUACUGCAGUUGCCAGCAGCUGCCCUUGUCCUUGCUCCCCAGGUCUAUCAGUCAGGCCCCCUGCGGUUCACAGUACAAUCCCUGAUUCUUCUGCUCUCUGCUUAAACCUAGGGGAAGUUUAGCAGCUGUACGGAUCCGGCCAAGAUGACAGAAAAGGAAUGCAGAGGCAACUUCAUCGUGUACAUGGACAGCGGCCCCAAGCAGCAAGAGCUGUACCCGCGCGAGUGGAUGCACAACGACUUCCACUUCGACAACGUCCUCUCAGCCAUGAUGUCGCUCUUUACCGUCUCCACCUUCGAGGGCUGGCCCCAGUGAGUCCGCCGGGGGGAGCACACAGCAUGGGGGCCGGGCACUGGGUCAGGCUGCAUGGGGGGAGAUCCCAGCACCCCACUGGCGCUGCUGCCUGGCUGGGGAAUGCCAUGUGAGGGGACUUCUCCCGAAGAUGGAGAGAGGGGUCAGACCCCCCACCCCCGAUCAGGGGCACAGAGGUGCCAGUGCAGUCAAAGGGGAAGCAGCUGUCUGGGAUGUCCUGACCUCUCUGCCUUAGCUCAGCUGGACUGAGCCGCCCCCCCAUGCAGCCUGACCCAGUGCCCGGCCCCCAUGCUG